rnacentral:rRNA from 1 species
UGGCGGACGGGUGAGUAACGCGUGAGAAUCUGCCAAAAGGACUGGGACAACAGCUGGAAACGGCUGCUAAUACCGGAUAUGCCAGAAAGUGAAAUGGGUAAAACCGCCUUUUGAUGAGCUCGCGUCCGAUUAGCUAGUUGGUGGGGUAAAAGCCUACCAAGGCGACGAUCGGUAACUGGUCUGAGAGGAUGACCAGUCACACUGGGACUGAGACACGGCCCAGACUCCUACGGGAGGCAGCAGUGGGGAAUUUUCCGCAAUGGGCGAAAGCCUGACGGAGCAAUACCGCGUGAGGGAGGAAGGCUCUUGGGUUGUAAACCUCUUUUCUCAGGGAAGAACACAAUGACGGUACCUGAGGAAUCAGCAUCGGCUAACUCCGUGUCAGCAGCCGCGGUAAUACGGAGGAUGCAAGCGUUAUCCGGAAUGAUUGGGCGUAAAGCGUCCGCAGGUGGCUUUGCAAGUCUGCUGUCAAAGCUCAGGGCUUAACCCUGAAUCGGCGGUGGUAAC